rnacentral:rRNA from 1 species
UGCCAGCAGCCGCGGUAAUACGGAGGAUCCAAGCGUUAUCCGGAAUCAUUGGGUUUAAAGGGUCCGCAGGCGGUUUUUUAAGUCAGAGGUGAAAUCCUACAGCUCAACUGUAGAAUUGCCUUUGAAACUGAAAGACUUGAGUUAUUGUGAAGUGGUUAGAAUGUGUGGUGUAGCGGUGAAAUGCAUAGAUAUCACACAGAAUACCAAUUGCGAAGGCAGAUCACUAACAAUUAACUGACGCUCAGGGACGAAAGCGUGGGUAGCGAACAGGAUUAGAUA